AGUUAAAAAGCUCGUAGUUGGAUUUCUGGCAGGAGUGGCGGGUCGCGUACUCUGUGCGUGAACUUGGCUGUCUCUGGCCAUCCUUGGGGAGAUCCUGUUUGGCAUUAAGUUGUCGGGCAGGGGAUACCCAUCGUUUACUGUGAAAAAAUUAGAGUGUUUAAAGCAGGCUUAUGCCGUUGAAUAUAUUAGCAUGGAAUAAUAAGAUAGGACUUUGGAACUAUUUUGUUGGUUUGCGUUGCAAAGUAAUGAUUAAUAGGGACAGUUGGGGGUAUUCGUAUUUCGUUGUCAGAGGUGAAAUUCUUGGAUUUCCGAAAGACGAACUACUGCGAAAGCAUUUACC
rnacentral:rRNA from 1 species